UGGGGAAUAUUGCACAAUGGGCGCAAGCCUGAUGCAGCAACGCCGCGUGAGGGACGAAGGCCUUCGGGUUGUAAACCUCUUUUAGCAGGGAAGAAGCGAAAGUGACGGUACCUGCAGAAAAAGCACCGGCUAACUACGUGCCAGCAGCCGCGGUAAUACGUAGGGUGCAAGCGUUGUCCGGAAUUAUUGGGCGUAAAGAGCUCGUAGGCGGUUUGUCACGUCUGCUGUGAAAACCCGAGGCUCAACCUCGGGCUUGCAGUGGGUACGGGCAGACUAGAGUGCGGUAGGGGAGAUUGGAAUUCCUGGUGUAGCGGUGGAAUGCGCAGAUAUCAGGAGGAACACCGAUGGCGAAGGCAGAUCUCUGGGCCGUAACUGACGCUGAGGAGCGAAAGCAUGGGGAGCAAACAGGCUUAGAUACCCUGGUAGUCCAUGCCGUAAACGUUGGGAACUAGAUGUGGGGACCAUUCCACGGUCUCCGUGUCGUAGCUAACGCAUUAAGUUCCCCGCCUGGGGAGUACGGCCGCAAGGCUA
rnacentral:rRNA from 1 species